UACAGAGGGUGCGAGCGUUAAUCGGAAUUACUGGGCGUAAAGCGUGCGCAGGCGGUUAUGCAAGACAGAUGUGAAAUCCCCGGGCUCAACCUGGGAACUGCAUUUGUGACUGCAUAGCUAGAGUACGGUAGAGGGGGAUGGAAUUCCGCGUGUAGCAGUGAAAUGCGUAGAUAUGCGGAGGAACACCGAUGGCGAAGGCAAUCCCCUGGACCUGUACUGACGCUCAUGCACGAAAGCGUGGGGAGCAAACAGG
rnacentral:rRNA from 1 species